rnacentral:rRNA from 1 species
GACGAACGCUGGCGGCGUGCUUAACACAUGCAAGUCGAACGGGAGUAUUGAAGAAGCUUGCUUUAGAGAUACUUUAGUGGCGGACGGGUGAGUAACGCGUGAGGAGCUGUCCUAUGCAGGGGGACAACAGCUGGAAACGGCUGCUAAUACCCCAUAAGCCGAGAGGUAAAAGGAUCAAUCCGGCAGAGGAGGUACUCGCGUCCUAUCAGCUAGUAGGUGAGGUAACGGCUCACCUAGGCGAAGACGGGUAGCCGGCCUGAGAGGGCGAACGGGCCACGACUGGAACUGAGAUACGGUCCAGACUCCUACGGGAGGCAGCAGUGGGGAAUAUUGGGCAAUGGGGGAAACCCUGACCCAGCGACGCCGCGUGGGUGAAGAAAUCCUUCGGGAUGUAAAGCCCUGUUGUAUGGGAAGAGCGGAAGACGGUACCAUACGAGGAAGCCCCGGCAAACUACGUG